GUGGGGAAUAUUGGACAAUGGGGGGAACCCUGAUCCAGCCAUGCCGCGUGUGUGAAGAAGGCCUUUUGGUUGUAAAGCACUUUAAGCGAGGAGGAGGCUACCGAGAUUAAUACUCUUGGAUAGUGGACGUUACUCGCAGAAUAAGCACCGGCUAACUCUGUGCCAGCAGCCGCGGUAAUACAGAGGGUGCAAGCGUUAAUCGGAUUUACUGGGCGUAAAGCGCGAGUAGGUGGCCAAUUAAGUCAAAUGUGAAAUCCCCGAGCGUAACUUGGGAAUUGCAUUCGAUACUGGUUGGCUAGAGUAUGGGAGAGGAUGGUAGAAUUCCAGGUGGAGCGGUGAAAUGCGUAGAGAUCUGGAGGAAUACCGAUGGCGAAGGCAGCCAUCUGGCCUAAUACUGACACUGAGGUGCGAAAGCAUGGGGAGCAAACAGGAUUAGAAACCCGUGUAGUCC
rnacentral:rRNA from 1 species